CAACUUUCGAUGGUAGGAUAGAGGCCUACUAUGGUGGUAACGGGUAACGGGGUGUUAGGGCACAACACCGGAGAGGGAGCCUGAGAAACGGCUACCACAUCCAAGGAUGGCAGCAGGCGCGCAAAUUACCCAAUCCCAACACGGGGAGGUAGUGACAAUAAAUAACAAUACGGGGUUCUUUCAGAUUUCGUAAUUGGAAUGAGUACAAUUUAAAUCUCUUAACGAGGAACAAUUGGAGGGCAAAUCUGGUGCCAGCAGCCGCGGUAAUUCCAGCUCCAAUAGCGUAUAUUAAAGUUGCUGCAGUUAAAAAGCUCGUAGUUGAAUUUCGGGACCAAUAUGUCAGUCGUGCCUCAGUACGUACUGGCAUCGUUGGUUUCUCCCUUCUGAAGAACCAUGAUGUCAUUUAUUUGGUGUCGUGGGAAAUCAGGAAUGUUACUUUGAAAAAAUUAGUGUUUAAAGCAGGCUUACGCUUGAAUACAUUAGCAUGGAAUAAUGAAAUAGGACGUUUGAUUCUAUUUUGUUGGUUUCUAGGAUCGACGUAAUGAUUAAUAGGGAUAGUUGGGGGCAUUAGUAUUCAAUUGUCAGAGGUGAAAUUCUUGGAUUUAUUGAAGACUAACUACUGCGAAAGCAUUUGCCAAGGAUGUUUUCAUUAAUCAAGAACGAAAGUUAGGGGAUCGAAGACGAUCAGAUACCGUCGUAGUCUUAACUAUAAACUAUGCCGACUAGGGAUCGAAUGAUGUUAAUUUUUUAAUGACUCAUUCGGCGCCUUACGGGAAACCAAAGUGUUUGGGUUC
rnacentral:rRNA from 1 species